rnacentral:tRNA from 1 species
UUAGUAUGCGUAAUUUAAAAAAAAUAUCAAGGUGUGACCUUGACAAUAGGAAUUAACCUCGCACA